UACGGAGGAUGCAAGCGUUAUCCGGAAUGAUUGGGCGUAAAGCGUCCGCAGGUGGCAGUGUAAGUCUGCUGUCAAAGCGUCUGGCUCAACCAGAUAAAGGCAGUGGAAACUACAUAGCUAGAGUAAGGUAGGGGUAGAGGGAAUUCCUGGUGUAGCGGUGAAAUGCGUAGAGAUCAGGAAGAACACCGGUGGCGAAAGCGCUCUGCUGGACCUAAACUGACACUGAGGGACGAAAGCUAGGGGAGCGAAUGGG
rnacentral:rRNA from 1 species